AACGAACGCUGGCGGCAGGCUUAACACAUGCAAGUCGAGCGCCCCGCAAGGGGAGCGGCAGACGGGUGAGUAACGCGUGGGAACAUACCCUUUAGUACGGAAUAGCCUCGGGAAACUGGGAUUAAUACCGUAUACGCCUACGGGGAAGGAUUAUCGCUAAAGGAUUGGCCCGCGUUGGAUUAGCUAGUUGGUGAGGUAAUGGCUCACCAAGGCGACGAUCUAUAGCUGGUCUGAGAGGAUGAUCAGCCACACUGGGACUGAGACACGGCCCAGACUCCUACGGGAGGCAGCAGUGGGGAAUAUUGGACAAUGGGCGAAAGCCUGAUCCAGCCAUGCCGCGUGAGUGAUGAGGGCCCUAGGGUUGUAAAGCUCUUUCGCUAGAGAAGAUAAUGACGGUAUCUAGUAAAGAAGCCCCGGCUAACUUCGUG
rnacentral:rRNA from 1 species